ACCGCCUUUGCAAGGUUUGCGAUUGGGCAGUGGUGAGGGAGAGGUGAGCAUUCAGGCUCAAGAGGAGGUGAACAAUUUCCACCCUCUGCAGCUCCUCCCCCACUCUCCUCCCCAGCCCCUGGCGCUCCUGGCCCAGCUCCCACUGCCUCACGUCCAUGGCGCAAUAUCACUGAGCUACAGGUGGGACAUGUGAACAGACACGAAAUUAUCUACUGCUCCCUCUCCCUCCUUCUCGCUUGAUAUUUCCCUAAACCAGCAUCAGGGAAGGGAGCCUCAGGGACCUGAAAAAGUGUUCUUGGAAAUGGCAGUUCUUUUUAUAAGACAGACAUCAGAGUGUUUAUAGAUCUCUUACUGUUGAAAUUGGACAUUCAGUUUCCUCCAUGUGUUGCUUGUGUUUUGUUAUUCCUGGAAAUUUAGUGUGAGCUCGGCAGAGAGGAGAGAAACAGAGGCUGGAGCAGUGAGAUGGAAGCAGGUUCAUCGACCAACAGCGUGGCUGGGAGCACCGAGCAGAGAGAGCUCAGGCUCCCCGCUCCUGGGGCAAGGGCUUUUUUAUAGCUAGGUUUCCUGUGAUAGGUCACCUAGUCUCUGGGAGAAACAAGAAGGGGGCUUGGGAAACAGAGAAGGAGGAUUUAGGUCCUUACGUGUGAAUUUUAACAGUCCUUUCGGCUCUGUUUACUUUGAGGUUGAACAGCUCCUUAAAUUAUCUUGGUCCUGGGACCUUGAUCCGUGCUGGCGUCUGUGUUUCCUGUUGGUUUGGUCAGCUGACAUCGCGUCUGGAGCCUGGGCGGGAUCUUGUAAUAAUGCAGACCCUCGGCCUUGAGAAGUCUUGAAGUCUUCACGUUCACAGUUGGAAUCCUGCUGGAGGAUAAGAAAUCCAUGUCCACGGCCUCUGCCUUCCCACCUAUCUCAUUUGAGGCUCACAGCUGUGAGUGAACCCACCUGAGAACAGCUGCCCGACUGGAAGCCCUGAGGUUCCAGCUUGCGACCCCAAGACGCCAGCCGUACAGAG